rnacentral:rRNA from 1 species
UGCCCUGCACUUCGGGAUAAGCCUGGGAAACUGGGUCUAAUACCGGAUAGGACCGCAUGCUUCAUGGUGUGUGGUGGAAAGCUUUUGCGGUGUGGGAUGGGCCCGCGGCCUAUCAGCUUGUUGGUGGGGUAAUGGCCUACCAAGGCGACGACGGGUAGCCGGCCUGAGAGGGUGUCCGGCCACACUGGGACUGAGAUACGGCCCAGACUCCUACGGGAGGCAGCAGUGGGGAAUAUUGCACAAUGGGCGCAAGCCUGAUGCAGCGACGCCGCGUGAGGGAUGACGGCCUUCGGGUUGUAAACCUCUUUCAGCAGGGACGAAGCGCAAGUGACGGUACCUGUAGAAGAAGCACCGGCCAACUACGUGCCAGCAGCCGCGGUAAUACGUAGGGUGCGAGCGUUGUCCGGAAUUACUGGGCGUAAAGAGCUCGUAGGUGGUUUGUCGCGUUGUUCGUGAAAACUCACAGCUUAACUGUGGGCGUGCGGGCGAUACGGGCAGACUGGAGUACUGCAGGGGAGACUGGAAUUCCUGGUGUAGCGGUGGAAUGCGCAGAUAUCAGGAGGAACACCGGUGGCGAAGGCGGGUCUCUGGGCAGUAACUGACGCUGAGGAGCGAAAGCGUGGGGAGCGAACAGGAUUAGAUACCCUGGUAGUCCACGCCGUAAACGGUGGGUACUAGGUGUGGGUUUCCUUCCUUGGGAUCCGUGCCGUAGCUAACGCAUUAAGUACCCCGCCUGGGGAGUACGGCCGCAAGGCUAAAACUCAAAGGAAUUGACGGGGGCCCGCACAAGCGGCGGAGCAUGUGGAUUAAUUCGAUGCAACGCGAAGAACCUUACCUGGGUUUGACAUGCACAGGACGCCGGCAGAGAUGUCGGUUCCCUUGUGGCCUGUGUGCAGGUGGUGCAUGGCUGUCGUCAGCUCGUGUCGUGAGAUGUUGGGUUAAGUCCCGCAACGAGCGCAACCCUUGUCUCAUGUUGCCAGCACGUUAUGGUGGGGACUCGUGAGAGACUGCCGGGGUCAACUCGGAGGAAGGUGGGGAUGACGUCAAGUCAUCAUGCCCCUUAUGUCCAGGGCUUCACACAUGCUACAAUGGCCGGUACAAAGGGCUGCGAUGCCGUGAGGUGGAGCGAAUCCUUUCAAAGCCGGUCUCAGUUCGGAUCGGGGUCUGCAACUCGACCCCGUGAAGUCGGAGUCGCUAGUAAUCGCAGAUCAGCAACGCUGCGGUGAAUACGUUCCCGGGCCUUGUACACACCGCCCGUCACGUCAUGAAAGUCGGUAACACCCGAAGCCGGUGGCCUAACCCCUUGUGG